rnacentral:lncRNA from 1 species
CUCCUGGACCCCCACCUCCUAUAACUCCACCAGUAUCCAUUCCUCCACCUCACACUCCACCAAUAAGCAUCCCAAACUUGGUGUCUGGGGCUAGAGGAAAUGCCGAGUCUGCUGACAGUGCGAAAAUGUAUGGUUCUGCUGGGCCACCUGCUGCACCCACGAGUCUGCCCACCCCUCCUGUAACCCAGCCUGUUUCACUGCUUGGUUUAAUCAGAAGUUUAUUGUGAAAACAUUCCUGAGCUGGUUUUCACCCUGUAGUAGAGCAAGCCCUUUGACGAGGUGAGUGAGUGGGUGUCCACCCAAACGGCCGUUGUUCUCAUCCCAGGGCCAAUGGCAUGGUAGGACUAGUCCCUCACACCCACCAUCCCAGCACUCUUCUCACAUUGUCUUCUGUCACAAGAAUCACAAAGGAAGCCGACCCUUGGACAUACCCAUCACCAGUAACUGUCACAGUGCUCACCUGUGCCCCUCCUGCCUGGCAGGGUGAGCUUUUUAACAAGUAAGGUGCUGUUGUUGUGUUUCCAUAUGCAUUCGAAUAAAGGAGAAUGUAUUCAAGAGCAUCACAGUUCCACCACUUUGAUUGAGGAACGCAAGAAUCACACUAUGCUGUCACAGUACCAGUGGACCACGAGCUGGGUGCAGGUGGUGGUGUCCCCCUUGUGGGGACUUAGUGACUAGGUAUUCCCUCUUUUCUUGGUGCUCUGAUGUUUCCAUAAGGCUGUAAAAUGAGAUGCUAUGUUGACCAGAACAAUCUUCCUAGAGGCUAAUGCCAAAGUCCCAUUUCCUCGUCUGUAAAGGGAAAUAACAUGGACACAUGAGGGAAUGGUGAUGAUUCAGUGGUUAACACAGAAUGCCUGCCACCUGGGAGGCACUUAGCUGUCACGGGUAAGAAACGGUAGGAGGGCUGAGGACAUCUAGAGAGAAGCACUGCCUCUGCAGUCUGCUGACCCUGCUGGACUCUAGGUCAUCAGCUCUUGUGUGCUCUCAGGUAGAAAGCACACUGUGAACAACAGUCUAUCUUUGUAUAGUUGCUUGUGUGUUCUAAGGUUCAGAAGACUAGAUCGCAAGUACUCACGCUCCACUAUCUGACAUGCUCAGAAAAUACGUUAAAUCAGCAGCAUUUUAUUUCAUAACACAACUCAGUAUGGCAGGUCUUUCUGCAGUAGUUAUCCACAUGUAUCCUUGGCACAGUUAUUUCUGAUAUGUGCCAGUAGUUUUGAGGUAGCACAGCUUACUAGAUAAGCAGACCAAAAUCUCAUGUUGAGGCCUAACUAGUGGGAAGGAUAGUGGAGUGCCUUGGGGUUGUUCGAGAACUCUGUCCUCAGGCUUGAGUUAGGAUGCUGGUUAAGAGAGAGCAGCCUCUUACUAGAGCUGAGCUUAGGCCCUCCACUCCACUCCCAUGACCCAAAAAGCAACGCUGAAUUCAGAAGGACCCAAGUUUUCCACCAUAUUUUUGAGAACAUUUUGAUUCUUUAAUAGUACUGAUCAUUUGAAAAUAUAAAUGACUAGGCAUACAACAACUAUUAUUCAUUAUUACUUGAUUUUAAAGAGUACUAGAUUUAGUAUCUCAUGGGCCAAAGUAGCUGAAACCCAUAGUGCUUUGUUAAAGCUAAAGAUGGCAUCUGCAGUUGUCAGUCACCUAGGAGAGAAGAUGGACGGUGGCAAUAACAGUCUUUCUUUGAUUGUAUAAACGUCUGUGUUUGCCUUUCGGAACCUUUGUAUGAUGUGUAUUGCUAAUGUGAUGUAUAGCACAUUUAUUAAAAAGCUAAUUGUAAAUGUAAAGUUUGGGUUACUUUGGUGUUCCAAACAAUAAAAAAAAGUACACAAAAAA